AGUCGUCAUUUCAAGGUGUUUUCGCGGACGUAUUGGCAUGUGGAUGUUGACAGUGUCGGAAGUAUUAAUCAAAGUUGACACGAGAAGUUGGAGCGAAUGCGAGAAGAGAAAGCUAUGAGCUGCCUGCCUGCUGCUGCCUACUGCCUACUCCUGCUGCUGCCGCUGCUGCUGUUGCAUCCAAUGUUGGGUAGCCAGCCACCCAUGCAUGUUGACACAGCCAGCAGCGGGCACCCAUGGCACAUGGGGAUGGACCCAGGAGUGGAGGAUGACCCAAUAGGGUGAGUUAGUGAGCUAAUGUCAUACACAUGUAAUUGUUUUAGGUGUAUGGGAAAUAAUUAAAUGUUUGUUUACAUUGUACAGAUGAACGUUCAGCCCACUCACUGUUGACACCAGUGACACACAUAUUGACCAGAUCUCCUGGAAGUGCCCCCUGACGCAGACCCAGUUGUUGGGUAGCCACCCAUGCACGUUGACACAGCCAGCACCGAGCACCCAGGGGGAUGGACCCAGGAAUGGAGGAUGGCCCAAUAGGGUGAGUUGCUGAGCCAAUGUCAGAAACAUGUAGACUAUACCCUACCCUCAUAUGUAAACCUUCGCUAGUCUGUUUCUCCCUUAAUAUUGGUGUCAGAUUCGCACAAAUGCAGUUCUGGGGUGCUACCUUGCUACUAAACAGGCACAGCAAGUAUGAUUUGAA